rnacentral:rRNA from 1 species
CACGUAGGGUGCGAGCGUUGUCCGGAAUUAUUGGGCGUAAAGAGCUCGUAGGCGGUGUGUCGCGUCGGCCGUGAAAACCUGCAGCUUAACUGUGGGCGUGCGGUCGAUACGGGCAUCACUGGAGUUCGGCAGGGGAGACUGGAAUUCCUGGUGUAGCGGUGAAAUGCGUAGAGAUCGGGCGGAACACCAGCGGCGAAGGCGGCAUCCUGGCCCUGACCUGACGCUGAGGCGCGAGAGCGUGGGGAGCAAACCGG